GAUGAACGCUGGCGGCGUGCCUAAUACAUGCAAGUCGAGCGAACGGACGAGAAGCUUGCUUCUCUGAUGUUAGCGGCGGACGGGUGAGUAACACGUGGAUAACCUACCUAUAAGACUGGGAUAACUUCGGGAAACCGGAGCUAAUACCGGAUAAUAUUUUGAACCGCAUGGUUCAAAAGUGAAAGACGGUCUUGCUGUCACUUAUAGAUGGAUCCGCGCUGCAUUAGCUGGUUGGUAAGGUAACGGCCUACCAAGGCAACGAUGCAUAGCCGACGUGAGAGGCGGAUCGGCCACCCUGGAACUGAGACACGGUCCAUACUCCUACGGGAGGCAGCAGUAGGGAAUCUUCCGCAAUGGGCGAAAGCCUUACGGAGCAACGCCGCGUGAGUGAUGAAGGUCUUCGGAUCGUAAAACUCUGUUAUUAGUGAAGAACAUAUGUGUAAGUAACUGUGCACAUCUUGACGGUACCUAAUCAGAAAGCCACGGCUAACUACGUG
rnacentral:rRNA from 1 species